rnacentral:rRNA from 1 species
CCUACGGGGGGCAGCAGUGAGGAAUAUUGGUCAAUGGGCGUAAGCCUGAACCAGCCACGUCGCGUGAGGGAUGAAGGUUCUAUGGAUCGUAAACCUCUUUUAUAAGGGAAUAAAGUGUGGGACGUGUCCUGUUUUGUAUGUACCUUAUGAAUAAGGAUCGGCUAAAUCCGUGCCAGCAGCCGCGGUAAUACGGAGGAUCCGAGCGUUAUCCGGAUUUAUUGGGUUUAAAGGGUGCGUAGGCGGCCUUUUAAGUCAGCGGUGAAAGUCUGUGGCUCAACCAUAGAAUUGCCGUUGAAACUGGGAGGCUUGAGUAUGUUUGAGGCAGGCGGAAUGCGUGGUGUAGCGGUGAAAUGCUUAGAUAUCACGCAGAACCCCGAUUGCGAAGGCAGCCUGCCAAGCCAUGACUGACGCUGAGGCACGAAAGCGUGGGGAUCAAACAGGAUUAGAUACCCGGGUAGUC